UUUCUCUAAACAAAAUAUAUAUAUAUUUUUAAAUGUUUGUUUUUCAUCAUGUCCAUGUGGUGUUAUGUGGCUGGCUGUGCUAAUUAGAUUCUGCAAGUAGUUACUGUUAUCAAUAAUGAUGUGACCAACGAUUAUCAGAUGGGUUUUCAGGCUGAACUGAUUGAUGGGUGAUGUAUUUCGACGACAGUUGAGAAGUGAUGCGAUUACCAUCGAUAUACUUUCCUUCACAACAAAAUGGAAGAUUCUCAAUUAGAAGUAACCUAACGUUAGCUAGCCUAGUUGGACUAGCUGGGAGAUGUGCAGUACCAGGAAAUAUUCUUCAAGAGGACCAAACAGUUGGUGGUUAAGAAGCCCUACACCACUUUCGGCAGAGCCUUAUCCAGCUGGCCAUUCACCGCAGACAGGACAAGCCCAUCGCCAUAGCACAAAGAGUCUCCGCUUCCCCAGUGCACCAUGCCAAACACAAUUGCCAGUGUACCGAAGCCAGAUAAAGGACUAUGGCUGCAUUUACACAGGCAGCCCAAUUCUGAUAUUUUUUCACUAAUGGGUCUUUUGGUCAAUCAGAUCAGCUCUGAAAAAGAUCUGUUGUGAAAAAAAUAGCAGAAUUGGGCUGUGUGUGUAAACGCAGACAGUGUGAUUCAGCAUAAGAUCAUGUAGAACACACAGGAGGAUACUGAGGGGAGGAUGGCUCAUAAUAAUGGCCAGGACGGAGCAAAGGGAAUAGUAUCAAACACAUUGAAACUGUUUGAUGUAUUUGAUAUCGUUCCACUCUAGCCAUCACCACGAGCCCGUCAUCCUCAAUUUGGUGUCUCCAACCCUGUUUCUGGAGAACUACCCUCCUGUAGGUUUAUGCUCCUACCCUAGUUGUAACUAACCUAGUUCCUUUUUUUAAAAACAGCUAAUUAUUAGACUCAGGUGUGCUAGGUUAGGGUUGGAGUGAACCUACAGGAUGGUAGCUCUCCAGGAACAGGGUUGGAGAGCCCUAAUUUAGAACCACCAUCAAAUAAAUAGAUAUUUUCUAUUAGUCUUUCAAAUUUGUCUGCCCUUAUGAAUUCACAGACAUUUAUAUUAAUACUGUACAGGGCUCUGUAGCAUCAAACAGAUGCUAGACAUUCAGAUAUCCUCUGUAGACUACAGAUGGGACUUAUUCACCAUAGUAACCUCCUUAACCAAGCGUCAGGGACUGACUGGGCCAACCCAACAGCAGGUCCCUCACAAUGAGGGGUGGGCUUCAGCUUGGCACACAAUUCCAAAACCACAUGAGUGGGCUUGGGUUAUAUGGAGAUUAGCAUAAGUACAUAAAUGUACUGGUUGUGCAUCCCACCUAAACUUAUCUGUAAUUACUGUAUUGGGCUGUAGUUCUGCUCUUGUUGUUAGUGUAUUUUUUUAAAAAUAAUAUGCAUUUUUGGUGUCCUGUUGUGCAUAUAAAAUAUGCUAUAAAUUAAUGAUGCCAAAGCUGUGCAAAUAUUUGGAACUCAUUGUACAAGAUGAGAUGUUAUAUUUUACAUAAUUUAUUUUUUUUAAAUUAAAAAAUGCAUAAUAUGUGCAGUAGAGUGGGAAAGCAUGGAUGAGAAUAAAGACUCAGUUGUGGCACCCUUUGGGUGGGUCAUAGUGCAAAAACAUUUUAGGGACCAUGGCCACAAGCAACACAUACUCCCUCUGUUGGACUCCUAUGAUAAAGCACUUGCAUCACUCAGUUACUGUUGCUGAAAAAACAUUGUUUGAACAUCAUUGCAUUGUUCGUAAAAACAUUAAACGACUAAUUCACUGUUGCUGAAAAAACAUUGUUUGAACAUCAUUGCAUUGUUCGUAAUAACAUUGAAAACGACUAAUUCUCUCUCAGUUGUAACUGAGUACCUGUAUAUUAACUAUAGACAGACCAAAUCAACAAAGUGGUAAUGAAUAGUAUAGUGAUCUGGAUGCACCUUUUUUAAAUAAACAGAUUUGGUGUAACAUGACAAGGGAAUGGAAUGGACUACAACUUCUAUCGAGUCAUUUGUUGACAAAAAAACGAAUGCUUUUUAAAUAUCCAGUACACAUGGUCUGUUUUUCCACAUGGUCCGCCAUUUCCACUUUAACCUCAACUAGCCUGGACAGCCGCUCUUCGCAACUUGAUGUUUUAUUUUGUUUAGUUGUGAGGACGACGCUUCAAUGGCACUUUUGUUUUGAAGAGAAAGGUCAAGCGAAAGGUUGAUGCAGCGUUUAGCUAGCUACCUACCGAGGUUGACCAGCUAGGUGGCUUGCUUAGUUGCUGCCUCAAUCUUCUGUUAAUCACACCGACAGGGUCAUUGAGUUUUGUUUGGUACACCAGAAGUAUACUGAACAAAAAUAAAAACGCAACAAUUUCAAAGAUUUUACUGAGUUACAGAUUAUAAAGAAAGCAGUCAAUUUAAAUAAAUAAAUUGGGCCUUAAUCUAUGGCUUUCACAUGACUCGGCAGGGGUGCAGCCAUGAAUGGUCCUUGGAGGGCACACAUCCAGUAAAAUGUUGGAUUACAUAAUGAAUAGUGCUGAACAAUUGGUGCUUUUUGUGGUAGUUUAUGUUCAAUUAUUAAAAUAAUCACCGUUUUCAAUUUCGAUAAUUUUGUAGACAGUAAAUGCACUAUGCAUUAUGUGGGUUGAAUGCUAUAACAAAAUAAAACAAAAGUAGUGACUGCCCAUUACUGCUUAUCA